rnacentral:rRNA from 1 species
UAGGGAAUCUUCCACAAUGGACGCAAGUCUGAUGGAGCAACGCCGCGUGAGUGAAGAAGGCUUUCGGGUCGUAAAACUCUGUUAUUGAAGAAGAACGUGUGUGACAGUAACUGGUCAUGCAGUGACGGUAUUCAAUCAGAAAGUCACGGCUAACUACGUGCCAGCAGCCGCGGUAAUACGUAGGUGGCAAGCGUUGUCCGGAUUUAUUGGGCGUAAAGCGAGUGCAGGCGGUCUUUUAAGUCUGAUGUGAAAAGCCUUCGGCUUAACCGAAGAAGGGCAUCGGAAAC